rnacentral:sRNA from 1 species
GCUCGUCACGUCGGUACAUGAAGUAGU